rnacentral:rRNA from 1 species
AUUGAACGCUGGCGGCAUGCUUUACACAUGCAAGUCGAACGGCAGCGCGGGCUUUGGCCUGGCGGCGAGUGGCGAACGGGUGAGUAAUACAUCGGAACGUGCCCAGUAGUGGGGGAUAGCUCGGCGAAAGCCGGAUUAAUACCGCAUACGACCUGAGGGUGAAAGCGGGGGAUCUUCGGACCUCGCGCUAUUGGAGCGGCCGAUGGCGGAUUAGCUAGUUGGUGGGGUAAAGGCCUACCAAGGCGACGAUCUGUAGCUGGUCUGAGAGGACGACCAGCCACACUGGGACUGAGACACGGCCCAGACUCCUACGGGAGGCAGCAGUGGGGAAUUUUGGACAAUGGGCGAAAGCCUGAUCCAGCAAUGCCGCGUGUGUGACGAAGGCCUUCGGGUUGUAAAGCACUUUUGGCGGGAACGAAAAGGACUGUGCCAAUACCACGGUUCGAUGACGGUACCCGCAGAAUAAGCACCGGCUAACUACGUG